ACUCACAUAGCCUCCCUUACCCCACAUACCAUUGCUACCAUGUACACCUGUUUAUGUCGGUGGAAAUACAUUUUUCAUGGUACUUUCAGUGUAGCUCGUUUCUGUUGUUACCUACCUGUGCUCUGGGAAAAUGUGCAUUAGAUUCUGUAUCACCUUAGGUUUAAGAUAAAUGUGCAUCUGUGUGUUUCUGAAUACAUAUGGAUCUUUUUCUUCUGAGCAAACCUGUUGAUGGUCGACAGCCUGGGCCGACGCAGGCCGUCCGGCUUAAUAAUGGGCCAGACCGGGCUUGAAUGGCCCAACAUUCCUCACCGGUUGGUCAACGACGGCCCAGUCUUACCAGCCGCUCCCGCACGCGUAGAAAAUUCUAGGGUUCAAAUCAAAUCGACCCUGUCCUCCUCGCCCUAUCCUCUCGCUUCCCCCGUCCAAUCCCCACCUCAGCAAGCAAACCCUAAUCGACUGCCACGGAGGAGGCAGGAUCGAAGGUGCGCGACCGAGCGGGAGCUGGCCGUACCGGAGAUCCGAGCCUCCGGAGCUCAAAAUCCCCCCCGUCGCCGCCGCCGUCGCUCUCGCGGUAAGAAGAUCAUCCGUCCAUUCCAUUCAAUUUGCAGCUGAAUUCGACGCUGCCGGUGGCCGGAACCCCGCGUUCCUCCCCGAAUCGAGAAAUUCUCGAAGUAUUCGCGUUCUGAGCUCCGGAUUCUUCUUUCUCUCCCAUGGCAGCCGCGGCAGGAGGGUGAUGAGAUCUUCGCGGGCGGGCCUCGCUCGGUCAUAAGAUGCUAGCCGGCGGCGUUGGCAGCAACAGAGGCGGCAGUUCCCAUCUCUCCUCCCCCUCCUCCCAGAGGGACCUACGCGGAGGCCGGAGCUUCCUCUUCGGGAACACCUGGUUCAUGCUCUCCGCCUACCCGGCGCGCCUGCUGCACACCGCGGACCGCCGCGCGCCCGCUGCCGCCUUCGUCGCCGCCGCCAUCCACCGGACGCCCCGGGUCGUGCGCGCGCACGGCGGCACGGGACAGGGCCUGCUGCAGCGGGGCAUCGUCAUGGCCGCCUGCGGCUACGCCUUCGGGCGGGCCGACCUGGGCGCCGCCGCCAAGCGCCAGCUGGAGAAGGACUCCUCGUCCGUGGCUGCCCACGCCUCGCGCAUCGUCGCCAUGGGGUCGGCUGGGAGCGCGGCCAGGCCCGAUGUCUCGUUCAGGUACCGGGGUCUGGAGUACUGUAAGAAGGUCGGCGUGAGCUUGAGAUGCCGCGAGCAGUGGGGGGCGGCUAGGACGUUCUGGACCAGUGCCGUUGGACCAGGCAGGCAGCUCAGCUUCUCGGUUGACCCUUGGGCUCGGGAUUUCAGCACGUCGUGUGCGGCGCCUUACUCUGCUGGAGCUACAGAGAGUCAACUGACUCUGGAUGAGGCAUUACAGGAGAAGCAGACGGAUAACUCCACCGUUGCCUCUGAUGAGUAUGUAUCCUCAUUCCUGUUGCAUGUACCAUUAUACCAUUAUAAAUUUCAAAUGACUUUCCCCUGGAAUGACUAUUAAAUUGAUCUAAAACAGAUAUGAGCCUGCAUGUUUAAUUUCCAUGAAAUGUUUGUUUCGAUGGGAAUUUCAUGCAGUGCUGUCAUGAGGAAUGCCUCAGUCUUGAUAUGUGGGCCUGGCUGCCAAAUAUUGGUUGUUUCUGUUGGACCCCUUUUUAUGACAGGAUAUGUCCAUAGGUUACAUGAAUACAGCCACCAAGUCAUCCACAGGGUGUUGCUCCCUGGAAUGGUUAUUAACUUGUUUUAAAACCGAUAUGAACACACAUGCUUAACUCCUGUGAAUGUUUGGUUACGUAAGAAUUUCAUGCAAUAUUGCGUUUGCCACCUUCAUUUUUUGCAAUUAGUUUGUCAAAAGGUACAUGUGUGUGUGUGUGUGUAACCCAUGAGGAAUGCCUGAGUCCUGAUAUGCGGGCCUGGCUACAAAAUGCUGGUUGUUUCUAUUGAACACCAUUUUAAUACAGGAUAGUCCAUACGAUACAUGAAUGCUUCCAUCAGUCACCCGAACUGUUGUGUUCCAUGCUUACCGUUGUCUAGACGCAAGUGCUAACAUGCAGGCAAGCAUUUUAUAAAAGUUAAAAUUCGAAAUGUAACUAAUGUGAUUAUUUCGUUGUAAGGCCAUAAGGUAUAUAUGUAGUAAGAUUUUAUUGAAUGUUGCCUUGCAACCCUGCUAGUGAUGUCAUUGUCAAUCACUUCUUCAUUAAUGAUAUUGUGUCCGAUAAUUCGAAUAAAGGUCCAGGAAUUUGGAUUUGGACAACAAUGGAUGGCGACAGGACAGCACAAUAUUUAGACAUUGAACAUGAACCAACUAUUUACGGUCAAUUUCCUACACGUUUGUUCAUUGCAUCUUAAGGAAAUUUGCUCUCAUGUUCUUCUGGUGUCAUAUUAGUAGCAUUUAAAUUUCUGUUAUCUUCUGGUAGCAACUGUUCUAUUGCUUUUUUUGCACCUGUUGUUGGUUGACAGACAUUUUCCUCUACAGGAAGUCACCUGCUCCUGAAAAACUGAAGCUGGUCUCAGGUUCUUGUUACCUGCCUCACCCUGCUAAGGAGGCGACUGGUGGCGAGGAUGGCCACUUUAUUUGCGUUGAUGAGCAGGCGAUCGGUGUGGCAGAUGGUGUUGGUGGUUGGGCAGAUCACGGUGUUGAUGCUGGACUGUAUGCAAAAGAACUAAUGAGUAAAUCAAUGAGUGCUAUCAAGGAUGAACCGGAAGGCGCAAUUGACCCAUCAAGAGUUUUGGAGAAAGCUUUUACAGGCACCAAAGCAAGAGGAUCAUCAACUGCUUGCAUCAUCACUCUUAAAGAACAGGUUAGCCAGAUUUUCUGACUAUUAAUCGUUGUUUAUUGUAGUCUCCUUCCAUUGCCAGUUGAUUUAUUGUGCUGAGUAGGAUAAACACAAAUUGUUACUAUGUAGUUUCUUUGGACCAUGUAUAGCACAGUAAGGCACCUCUCACAUGGUCGGAGGAAAAAGGGGUCGUUGAUGUAGUAAAAUGAGGAUAGCUGAAAUAGCACUUUUGGUGCUACAUUCUUGGAUCGCUAUGGUGCUGUGGUAUUCUCGUCCAUGAGUAUAAAAGUAACUGUAUUGAUAAAUCUCGUAUUCAUCUGUUUGGUCAUGUCUGAGCACUUUCAAUUCAACAGAACUAGAAGUUCCUGAUUCGUAUUUCUGGAAAGGAACACAUUUAUUUUGCAGUCUUUUUUUCUAAUUUAGUGAUUCUUACUAUCAUGCUAUUUAAACUUGCAGGGUCUUCAUGCUGUAAAUCUUGGGGACAGUGGCUUCAUAGUGGUCAGAGAUGGACGCACUGUUCUCAAAUCACCUUCGCAGCAGCAUGAUUUUAAUUUUACUUAUCAGCUCGAGAGUGGGGGUGGCAGUGAUCUUCCCAGUUCUGCUGACGUGAGUACAUCCUGGCUUUGCAGUGAUCUUCCUAUAUCUUUGAAUAAUGUUUGUAGAACUCUGACACAACAUGAUAACUUGGAUGUCUUUAUUCUCCGCCGAAUAGGUUGUUUAAGUUUAUAGCAUCAAAAUAUUGUAUGACAUGAUUCCCCAUACUCACUUAUGUAGGUAUUUCACUACUCGGUUGCUCCUGGUGAUGUUAUCAUUGCUGGCACGGAUGGGCUUUUUGACAACCUGUACGACAACGAAAUCACUGCCGUCGUUGUCGAGGCCCUCAGGAGUGGCCUCGGUGCCCAGGGCACAGCUCAGAAAAUCGCCGCCCUUGCUCGGGAGAGAGCGGAGGAUAAGCACAGGCAGUCGCCCUUUGCAGCCGCUGCUCAGGAGGCUGGGUACAGGUACUAUGGAGGGAAGCUCGACGACAUCACGGUCGUGGUGUCGUACGUGACGAGCGCCUCAGCCGUUUGAUGCGACGCUUCCAUUUUCUGUUGUAAUGUACAUAACCUUGCCCCAAACUCAUGGGAGCUCCUACGCCCCGGGGAGUAGAUUCCUAGGUUGGUUUAUUCGAGUGUUGGGGGAUCUCCUGACACCUUAAUGUUUUAGAGUAUUGAGAUUGCGCUUUGGCUCGGGAAAUCGUGGCGAAAAACCAUGUCUGCCCCACUGCUCAUUUAGCACUACAUGAGAUGCUUCUUGUAAACCCAUCCUUGGUGGAAGGAGAACCACCACGUGCUGGCAAAGUUUUGUUGUAGUUGCUAAACAUGUUUGCCUUCUCGUGCUGCUGAGAGAUAGGCUGUUGUGAGUUCUUACUGUGCGUUAGCUCACCAAGCUGUUGCGAACAAUCCCCUUAAAAAAGGUGCUGUAAACAAUUGAAUCAAAAUAAUGUAUCAAGACAAUUUUAUUUACAUGCUGUGUCACUUUCGAGAGAUCUCGAAGUGGACAGUUUUGCUGGCAUAGUGAAGCUUGCUGUUUCUGCCGUGCCGCAUUAGUUGGGACUUGGAAAGCACUGUUUUUUGUUGUUGCGACAAUUAAGAUGGCGUUGGAAAGGUAACUUUGCUAUGCGGCAAGUGUUUCGGUGUGGAUUUACGGCAAAAGGUUUGAGUAGAGAAGGGCGUGUGAUAUUCAGCGUGUUCAUUGCUUCACAGUUCUCUUUAAGCUGGACUGAGUUCUGAUCUCAAGCGUGCCGUUUACGGUCAGGUACUGGUCUGGGUUCUGAUCUGAAGCGCCGUGAACGGUAGUCCUCAUGUCAGGUACUGGCCUAAGUUCUGAUCUGAACCGUUAGGGGUCGUUGUCACUCGUCAGGUUAGGUUCGUCUGUUAACAGUCGUCGUCGGGCCAGGCGUUCUGGGACAGCUCUUUGCUGCUUCUAGCAUUCAGCGCCCAUUUGAGCAUGCCGUUUACACUAGAUACUUUACUGCCUCUGCACUUUUCUUCUGAAUUUAUAAUCAUCAUGCAAUAUGGCAAAGCCGACCAAACUUCUUUAAAGAGAAACAGAUUUUGGUUGCUAGUUGUAGGGUUCGGACGAACAACAUUUGCAUGCAUGGUAGGCCAGGGACCUGAAUGUGAGAACAUCAUUUGCACGCAUGCCAGGUCAGUGACAGCGCCAGAUGCCACUAUUGAAGUUCCCGUUUUCUUUAAGCAGCGAACACACUGCCUGAAACUGCUUUUGGUUCGCCCACUCGAUGCGCAAGAGAGGAGAGCAAGGACUGGAAUGCGAAAACAGUUACAUAUGCAAGCCAGGCCAAGGAGCAAAAUUUAAUUUAAACGAAUUGGCAGGGGCCGCGCGAACGCGUACCCCCUUUAUCACAAAUUAUGACGUUCAUUCUCCCACUUGGGGAGAUGAUGGGCCAACGCACCCACCAAGUGCAAUGUGGGCCAUUGACCCAGGCCACGGGCCUUGUUGAUCGCCCGUCGACCCCGUCCAGGUAAGUGAGGGGAACGUAGCACCUCGCCCUCCUCUUAUAGCCAGCUCUCCUGUUCGAUUCCCUUGGCUAGGCGAGGUGGUACUAAAUGCUGAAGAGCAGCAGCCGCGGGGGCGAAGGGAGUCACGGGGGGGCGCGCGAUUAGCUUCAGACUUUAGUGGGCUCACGUUUGACCUAUCUGGCCCUCCAGCAGCAAGACGUGGGCCUUGAGAGUACCAGUUUUGUGCUCUUGCUGUGCAAUCGUGUUGCUCACCACUAAAAAAAAAAAAGUGUAAUCGUGUUGCUCUCUCCUCCAGGAAGAAUGAG
rnacentral:lncRNA from 1 species